rnacentral:rRNA from 1 species
UACGGGAGGCAGCGGUGGGGAAUAUUGCACAAUGGGCGCAAGCCUGAUGCAGCCAUGCCGCGUGUAUGAAGAAGGCCUUCGGGUUGUAAAGUACUUUCAGUCGUGAGGAAGGUGUUAAGGUUAAUAACCUUAGCAAUUGACGUUAGCGACAGAAGAAGCACUGGCUAACUCCGUGCCAGCAGCCGCGGUAAUACGGAGGGUGCGAGCGUUAAUCGGAAUUACUGGGCGUAAAGGGCACGCAGGCGGUUAAUUAAGUUGGAUGUGAAAUCCCCGGGCUUAACCUGGGAAUGGCAUUCAAGACUGGUUAGCUAGAGUCUUGUAGAGGGGGUAGAAUUCCAUGUGUAGCGGUGAAAUGCGUAGAGAUGUGGAGGAAUACCGGUGGCGAAGGCGGCCCCUGGACAAAGACUGACGCUCAUGUGCGAAAGCGUGGGGAGCAAAC